AAGGUACGUGUUGGCUCAAACACUAGUCUUUUGUAAAGAACAAGAUUAAGGAGCCUUGUCAAUCAGAUUUUCUCAUCUUGAAACCUUGGAUUAUAAUUGAUGAUUGAAAGUGUGCGUUUGAGCUGAAGCACGCAAUUGUUGUUUGCUUUUGAAUCUACUCGAUCAACUCGAUUUUAGUUUGAUUGUUUUGCGUGUUAUACCACGAUGAAUGUUUGACGUUUGCAUUAUUUUGUGAUGAUUUCUAUUUAGCUUUUGUAAAGAACAAUAUUGUCAUCUGACUUUGAGCGAAAUGAAACAGAAUUGGCAGGCGUUCUAUGGGUUUUACCUGAUUCAUAUCUCGAAUUCCAAACACAGGUGAUCGGUUUAUUGUUGGAAAGGUUAUCGCGAGAGACAACAAAGUGGUAGAAAUAGGCCUCGUCCACAGUACGAUAGAUGUCGAGAAACUGUGCAUAUUGAACGGAGGCAACCAAUAUUGAGGAUUAUUGGGAGAGAUGUUCCACAUUGGCUAAUUAAGGGAAAUAUCGUAUACUUCAGUUCAUGUAUACAAAGCUUGGGUCAAGACCAUAGAAACCGGAAUAGUCAAAAUUCAGAUCGAAAUGGAGUCGGAGAUAUCUUAGGAAAUCUAGGCGAGUUUAAUUGAAGCAAUCAGGGAUUGAUGGAUGCUUUGAGUAUCUAUUGACACCUUAAUCCAUGAAGUCUAGGCAGUCAGUUCAAGGAUGAUUAUGUCAUGAACUCAUCAACUUGCCACUGCCACAAUUCUCUUCCUUCAACGUUUGGAUAGAACCUUACGUGUGUGUGUAUAUAUAUAUUUAGAUUUAUCAAUUAUGAAUUUUAUAAUAUGUUAUGAGUUCCAAAAAUGCAGAUUUUAGGAUCGUUUUUUACUUAUAAAUUCAUGAUAUUGUCUUUAAGUAGCCAAUUUGAGACUUAAAGUACAAAGUAGAGCAUCCUCAAAGGCUUCA